rnacentral:rRNA from 1 species
UUUAAAUUGAAGAGUUUGAUCAUGGCUCAGAUUGAACGCUGGCGGCAGGCCUAACACAUGCAAGUCGAACGGUAACAGGAAGCAGCUUGCUGCUUUGCUGACGAGUGGCGGACGGGUGAGUAAUGUCUGGGAAACUGCCCGAUGGAGGGGGAUAACUACUGGAAACGGUAGCUAAUACCGCAUAACGUCGCAAGACCAAAGAGGGGGACCUUAGGGCCUCUUGCCAUCGGAUGUGCCCAGAUGGGAUUAGCUAGUAGGUGGGGUAAUGGCUCACCUAGGCGACGAUCCCUAGCUGGUCUGAGAGGAUGACCAGCCACACUGGAACUGAGACACGGUCCAGACUCCUACGGGAGGCAGCAGUGGGGAAUAUUGCACAAUGGGCGCAAGCCUGAUGCAGCCAUGCCGCGUGUAUGAAGAAGGCCUUCGGGUUGUAAAGUACUUUCAGCGGGGAGGAAGGGAGUAAAGUUAAUACCUUUGCUCAUUGACGUUACCCGCAGAAGAAGCACCGGCUAACUCCGUGCCAGCAGCCGCGGUAAUACGGAGGGUGCAAGCGUUAAUCGGAAUUACUGGGCGUAAAGCGCACGCAGGCGGUUUGUUAAGUCAGAUGUGAAAUCCCCGGGCUCAACCUGGGAACUGCAUCUGAUACUGGCAAGCUUGAGUCUCGUAGAGGGGGGUAGAAUUCCAGGUGUAGCGGUGAAAUGCGUAGAGAUCUGGAGGAAUACCGGUGGCGAAGGCGGCCCCCUGGACGAAGACUGACGCUCAGGUGCGAAAGCGUGGGGAGCAAACAGGAUUAGAUACCCUGGUAGUCCACGCCGUAAACGAUGUCGACUUGGAGGUUGUGCCCUUGAGGCGUGGCUUCCGGAGCUAACGCGUUAAGUCGACCGCCUGGGGAGUACGGCCGCAAGGUUAAAACUCAAAUGAAUUGACGGGGGCCCGCACAAGCGGUGGAGCAUGUGGUUUAAUUCGAUGCAACGCGAAGAACCUUACCUGGUCUUGACAUCCACGGAAGUUUUCAGAGAUGAGAAUGUGCCUUCGGGAACCGUGAGACAGGUGCUGCAUGGCUGUCGUCAGCUCGUGUUGUGAAAUGUUGGGUUAAGUCCCGCAACGAGCGCAACCCUUAUCCUUUGUUGCCAGCGGUCCGGCCGGGAACUCAAAGGAGACUGCCAGUGAUAAACUGGAGGAAGGUGGGGAUGACGUCAAGUCAUCAUGGCCCUUACGACCAGGGCUACACACGUGCUACAAUGGCGCAUACAAAGAGAAGCGACCUCGCGAGAGCAAGCGGACCUCAUAAAGUGCGUCGUAGUCCGGAUUGGAGUCUGCAACUCGACUCCAUGAAGUCGGAAUCGCUAGUAAUCGUGGAUCAGAAUGCCACGGUGAAUACGUUCCCGGGCCUUGUACACACCGCCCGUCACACCAUGGGAGUGGGUUGCAAAAGAAGUAGGUAGCUUAACCUUCGGGAGGGCGCUUACCACUUUGUGAUUCAUGACUGGGGUGAAGUCGUAACAAGGUAACCGUAGGGGAACCUGCGGUUGGAUCACCUCCUUA